UUUGAAAGAGAGUUAAAGAGUACCUGAAACUGCUGAAAGGGAAGCGAAUCGUAUCCAGUGUCUAUAAUCUGUGGCAUAUUUCAUUGGCGGCUUUGUGCGUGCUAUUGUUUCGGAAGCGGCUUUUGUUGCUCUGUGCUUUGGUGUUGUGCGUUGCUGCUGAUGCCCUGUGUUGCGGUGGGACGUCUCAGUCAGUUCGUAUGCUGCGGGAAAUGGCUGCCGAGGAGGUAGGUCAGGAUUUCGGUCUUGGCUGUUAUAUCUUGGUGGUUUGUUGUCGUGGUUGGGACUGAUGUGCCUACCAUGUGCUUUUGAGUGUACUGGGUUCUCAUUUGGUGGACUGUUUGGAUAGCUUGCUAUGCUUGUGGUUUUUU
rnacentral:rRNA from 2 species